UCCUCUUAGCUGGCUUCUCACGCUCGGCACUCCCAUCCGCUCAUUUUUCUUGCUUUUGUCUUAAUAUCUCUAUCGUGCGAGACAAUCCAUCCAAUCUCUCUCCAUCUUCAUUUCUUCUCUUCCUCAAACGAAGCCACACACUCUGCUCACGCCAACCUUGAGAUCUUCAAUCAAGCUACUUCUCUCCACUAGUUGCUGUCCCCCGCCAGUCAACUCUCCUCACCGCUGAAGACUCGAGCAAGCAUCCGUGUGGUCUUCUCCAGCUCGUGGCCACCGGAACUACAGCUGCCACGUCCGAAGAUCUCUCCCGGUUUCUACCAGCACGCCUCCACCAUCUUUUGUUCCCCAGUCAAACCAGUCGGUUUGUUGGUCGCUACAUCAUCUCCAGCAGCUUCACGUGCCGCGCCGUUGCCUCGUCCAACCCAUGCCCACGAAGCCCAACGCCAGCUCACUUCACGGGUCAACGAAGCAGCUCCAUUCUCUCGGUUGUUGACCGCCAAACGUCCACGAAGCUGCUCCAUCAUCCGCACGCCUCUGCCUGCGCCCUACAAAGCAGGGCUCCACGCGUCUUCAGCUUCUGCCGGUUGCUGCCAGAUUCGGUCAACCAAUGGAGUCACUCCACCGGCUGUUGACCCAACGAAGCCACUUGCCGUGUGUCUUCAGUUCGCCGAGGUGCCCCCGUAGCUGCUUCACGCCCACGACGCCAGCUACCGUUCCUUUCCACUAGCAUCAAAGAUCCCAACUCCUCUCCUUGCUGCUUCUUGGUUCCGCUCAUCCACCGAAGACGUCAGGGAGUAGCUCCCUUCUUCGCCUGCGUCUUCUUCAGUUCGUGGAUCAGCCGCAACAACCCAGUCCAUCAAGCUUAGCGAAGACCAGGCCCACAGAUCCUCCUCCAUUUCCAUCGCAGCUCAUAUUGGGCUUUCUUGUUCAGCCCACAAUCAUGGGAUUCUAGCCCAGCAGUUGGAUCAUUUGAAGCCCCCACGACAAGCCAAGUUCGGUCCAAGCUCAGUCAGCCCAUCUUUAGUUGUUGUCCAGUUGAAAUUACUCCAGCAGCAGGCCCAUCCAAUUCAGCUUAUUCAAUUGAAUUGAAGCCCAAAUUUUCCAGCACUUGAAGCCCAAAUCAGUGAGGUCCAGCAGCCCGCUUUGCAAGCCCAGUCCAAGAGCAAGCCCAUUCCAGUGCAAGAACAAAUCUCAGUUGGGCUGAGAUUUGUUGGGCCAAGUCUUAAGGCCCGGUCCAAGCCGCCGGUGUUGUCGAAAGUCCGAUUUCGGCCGCCGUCGCGUCGCCGUUGCGGUGAUUCGAUCUCCGCUUUUGUCAAGUGAGUUUUACUCACUAAAGCUUUAUUAGUUUGCUAAUUAUGUCUUAAGGUUGGUUAGAUUUAAUUAAGUGCACUUAGGUGGUUAGAUUAGGUUAGAACAAUUAAAUUUAGUGACUUAAUAAUGCAUGUUAGGUGGUUAGCUAUAGCCAUUAUGGAGUAGGAAUGCUCUAGUAUUUAUUGAAUGCAUCUCGGGAUUUUUCCCAACCCGUUUCGGGCUCCAAUAAGGCAAUAUAGGCCUAAAUUGGAUUUUUAAUGUUUAUUUAUUUAUUUUCGAAAUUUAUUUAUUUAAUUAAUUAUUUUUCCGGAAAUUCAACCGGGAUGGCCGGUGACCGGAAUUUCGUGCCGAUUGUCGUGGUGCAGACCGUUUAUUUAUUUGAGCUCUACGUUGUGUGGAAUUGAAUUUAUUGUGGAAUUUUAUGAAUUGUCCUAAAUUGUUUGUUAUUGAGUAUUUGAUUGGUAAUGGCUAAGCAUGGAUAUAUAGCGCCAGUACGUUGAUGGGCUAUAUAGUAGGAAGAAUGGUGAGACCAAUCAGGUACGAUGUUAUUGGACAUACGUGGUUCGGUGAUUGGAAGUAUCACUGGCGAAAACGGCGCCUUAAAGAACGCACGUAAAUGACUUAUAGACACACGUGGUUCGGUGAUUAUGGGAAUAUCACUGGUGAAAACGGCGCCUUAAAGAACGCACGAUGUUGUCUAUAGCCGAUGUCACCUUGGCGAAAACGGCGCCCUUGAGAAGACACGUGGUUCGGUGAUCAAGGUUAUCACUGGUGAAAACGGCGCCUUAAAGAACGCACGGUGUCGGCGAUCGGUAUGUCAUUGGCGAAAACGACGCCCGAGAAACAUGUGAUUUGGUGAAUGAGUACACCACUGAGAAAGCGUGGUACGAGUGGGAAUGACCGAGAGAGGGUCUAAUUGACAUGUAAUCGACUUAGUCGAUUGGCCAAUGUUUGAUCGUAUGUCGUGAAUUGUUUGAAUAUCUGUGUUUAACCUUGAAUUGCAGGUUGGAACUGAGGCUAAGGUAAGUCCUCUGACUCGUGUUGUGCUUAGGCAACCGGAUGGCGUAUUAGUUUAUUAAUCGAGUCUUAGUGGGUAGGACUCGCUGAGACGUGGUCUCAUUGGUUAUUGAAUAACCAUUUCAGGACCCUGAGGAGAAUCUAAGGAGGAGGAACCUGAAGAUGGAGAAAGACUUUUGAGGAAGAAGAUGAUCCAGAGAGGGAUCUUAAGUAUAACCCGGAUGUGGAUUGAGAUCCCGUCCCUUUUUGUGAACCCUGUCUUGGUAUAGAUAGGUGUGAGACUUUUAUGCUGUAAAUAGUAUUGUAAAUA
rnacentral:lncRNA from 1 species